ensembl:misc_RNA 7SK 7SK RNA
UGAUGAUCUGGCUGUGAUGUCCAUCAUCCUAUUGAUUUCUAGUAAUUAUUAGGAUUAUCUGACUAUCUAUUCAGGUGUCACUUUUCUCUGUCAGUUUUCACUUAUGUGUCCUUUUUGAAACUGCAUGGUAAUUAAAUGAUAAUCACCUUACCCAAGAGAGAUGUAUCUGCUUUUGUCCAUAAAUUUAUGAGUAUCUGUACUCAACAGCUAGAGCCUCCAAGAAGCUCUAAGGGACAUACAAUGUUACUAAACAGAUUAUACAACAUGCUACAUUAAGGAUGUUGAAAAGAAAAGAAUAAAGAAACUUAAUAAACAUAUUGUUAAAGAGCAGACACAUGCUUAAUUUCUUUAAU